rnacentral:sRNA from 1 species
AGUGCUGUGCCUAGUGCUAGACACGCCCAGUCACACAGCCUUCACAGGCAGCACCGACGCCACCAUCCGUGCCUGGGACAUCCUGAGUGGGGAGCAGCUGCGGGUGUUCCGGGAGCACCAGGGCUCCGUCAUCUGUCUGGAGAGUUGAGUCAAGAUAGUCUUCCUCAUGCUCUGGAAUGUCUUCCAGUAUCUCAUUGACGGCCUCUGUCUCCAUGUCUUCGUCUGUUGAGGCACUAGAGGUUCCUACAAUAAAAUAGCGCAGGAGUAAGUGAAUUACGUGAGGAUUGUCCUGGGGACGCUGCACGACCACAGUCAACCUCAGACUGUGCCUCUUGCUGGCCACACUGUCCAGGUGGCCGGCCCAGUGACGUCAGGGGACACCCCCUCAGUCUCCACGUCUGCCGUGGCCUACUAGGGCACCAGCCCCAUCUGUUGGCUUCUGAAGACACUUUGCUCUCAACGCAGACCUCAGAGACCUCAGACCUACCUGCAGAGUCGGAAGGGGACGUGCCUGGCGGGGACAAAGAGUCUUCUGGCGACAGCGGCAGCUCGGGAGGCAGGCUUCCUCCGUUGUGAGCAAGGGUCUGGGCGGCCAGCUGGACGUUGCCUCUGAACACUCUCAGCGCAGCUUCGGCCACAAGUGCAUCAAAACCCAUGUACACCAACUAGGGGAGAGCGCAGGGGUCACAGCAUCGGCCCCUGGCUCCUCUUCUGCCACCCCCGUCACCCACACAGGCGGACAGCCGACUCUCAUGUUUAAGAGCUCCCGGCAUGCGCACCAUGGCCCUUUGUGCACAAGUCAUGCUUCUGUGCAAUGUGAGCCUGGAGCAACCUGGGAGGGGGCUUGGAAGACUCGAGUCGGGUGCGUCAGUGAGCAGCCAUCUCAGGACAGGCAAUGACCUCGGGCUGAGAGCAAGGCGCCACGCCAGCCUCACCACGAGCACCGCGAGGUCAGUCGCCACAGCAUACAGGCAUGCUAACGUGUGUCGGGGGACAAAUGUGGACAGAGCCGUCACUUGGGACACAAAGCUGGAUGGGUUUCACAGGUCACAGUGACAUCCUUUUAGGUCACAGGCAGAGAAAUGGGGCUGAUGUAAACAGUGGUGCAUAGACAAAGGUGGCAAACCUAAAUAGAACUUCCUGACACUUCCCCAGUUUUCCUGCUUUCCAAGGAGGCCUCCCCUGCCCUCUGUUACUGCGUGGGUGGCCUCUGAGGUGGACAGGUUACACCUGGAGCCUGGGAGCCAAGGUUUCAGCACGGACUCCCCCAGUCCUGCUGCCUGAUUCACCCGGGUUACCCCAAGCAACCCCCACCCGAGGCUGUCCAAGCCGAGGGCACAAAGGCCUGUCACUCACUCGGUCAAUGUUUUCCUGGGAAGGACUUUCUUGAC